CAGAAUUCCGCGAAUCAUCGAGUCUUUGAACGCAAGUUGCGCCCGAGGCUUGACCAAGGGCAUCCCUGCCAGAGCGUCACCGCGACACCCACCAAUCCGCUCCCAGCUAGCUGGCUGGGAGCGCGACUGAGUGAAACUGGCCAUCCGAAUGGGGGCCACGCCACCCGGGGCUUCGUGUGCCUUGGGUGGGGUGGCAGAUUGGGUUGGCUGAGAUUGGAGAGAAUUUGGCCGCCGUGGUGACACAGCCCGCGAUCAGGUGAUCCGGGUCUCAUCUUGGAACCUUCUAGGUGUGGUGCUGUGUCUCCCAGUUGGUACGACGAGGAUUCCAAAGCAGGUCCCGGACUCCCCCGCGCCCCCCGCAUCUCCCUGCCUUGCGCUCGGAGGGAGGGAGGAGGAGAAGAGGAGGGAGUGUCCCGAGGUGUGACGUCACGCAUCAGACCUCUGAUCAGGGAAGACUACCCACUGAAUU
rnacentral:rRNA from 1 species